GAGUUUGAUCAUGGCUCAGGAUGAACGCUAGCUACAGGCUUAACACAUGCAAGUCGAGGGGCAUCAGUUUGGUUUGCUUGCAAACCAAAGCUGGCGACCGGCGCACGGGUGAGUAACACGUAUCCAACCUGCCGAUAACUCGGGGAUAGCCUUUCGAAAGAAAGAUUAAUACCCGAUGGUAUAAUCAGACCGCAUGGUCUUGUUAUUAAAGAAUUUCGGUUAUCGAUGGGGAUGCGUUCCAUUAGGCAGUUGGUGAGGUAACGGCUCACCAAACCUUCGAUGGAUAGGGGUUCUGAGAGGAAGGUCCCCCCAAUUGGAACUGGGACACGGUCCAAACUCCUACGGGAGCAGCAGUGA
rnacentral:rRNA from 1 species